UCAUUUCCGCCGCGUCAUGAACUUCCUUGUCCCAGGUAAAUAUUCUGUCAUUCACUUCUCUCUCGACCCUGCUACGAUUCAGGUUCGAGGAUGUUAACAGAAUUGUUUGAGAGCACUCUACAAAUAAAGAAUCAAGGCUAUAAAUUCUUCGUUGAGGAAUUUGUACACAAUUAUCAAAGAGAAAUCGAGAUUCAUCAGGCUACCUUUUAGUCUUCAACUAUCCUGUUUUGGUGAACCUGUGCCCACUGCAGCCUCAGCUUUCUGUUCAUGGCUGAGAAAAGUGGAGCCUGACUUGUUCUUCUGCUGUUGUAGCACAUCUGCCUCCAGGGUCCUGGGGAAACCUGGAACCUAUCCCAUGGAGCAUCGGGCACAAGGCUGGGUACACUCUGGACAGGAUGCCAAUCCAUUGCAGGUCACACAAACAGAUACAUAUUCACACACCCAUUCAUACACUAUGGACACUUUGGACAUGCCAAUUAGCCUACCAUGCGUGUCUUUGGACUGGGGGAGGAAACCGGAGUACCCGGAGGAAACCCCCGCAGCACGGGGAGAACAUACAAACAGUCACAAUUGUACAGAGUGGAUAUCUGAGUUACUGUAGCCUUUCUGUCAGCUCAAACUAGUCCGGUUAUUCGCAGUUGACCUCUCUCAUCAACAAUGCGUAUCCGUCCACAGCGCUCCCACUCACUGGGUGCAUUUUCUUUAUUGCAUCCUACUGAGUAAACACUAGAUAAUGUUGUUCAUGAAAAUCCCUGGGGAUCAGCAGCUAUAGAAAUAUUCACACCAGGCCAUCUGGCACCAACAAUCAUACCACGGUCAAAAUCACUGAGAUCACAUAUGCACUGCUCUACAAGAUUUUAUGCACUGCUCUGCUGCCAUGCGAUUGGCUGAUUUGAUAAUUGCAUGAAUGAGCAGUUGUACAGGUGUUCCUAAUGAAGUGUUCAGCGUAUUUUACUAAGUAUUGUUGUCAUUCUGGGGCUUCUAUAACACUUUAUAGUUAUGAUGAGAAUGAAUAUGACUUUUGGGUUUCACUUAUACCAUGUAUGAAAUACUGCAGCAUGCAUCAACUAUGUUGUCUAUGUGAAUAUAAAUAAAUAAAUUAAGGGGGGGGGCACUCCAUUAAAUGUACAUCCAAGCUACCUGUAAAUAAUGUAUAGUCUUUGAUGUUGUUUACUAUUUACUUUUAUUUAUUUUAUAUAGCAAAUAUUUAUUUGUAGCAGAUAUUUAAAACAGAUUUUAAUACUGAUACUAACAAUUAAACAAAUAAUUAUAUCAAAAAUAUUUGAAGUUAAACUAUUAUUAGAGAAAUUACAUUAUUAGUAAUUCAUAAAACAGAACUUACUGCUAAUGGUGAUCCAUAGUCUUAAUAAAGUUUCAAAUGUCACCAUAAGACCACUUCCUGUUUCUUUAAUUGUGAUUUCAAAUUAAGAGUACUUUUCUGACAUUAUACAUUUUUAUACAUAAAUGUUACAGCAGAGGUUAUGUUUGACACACAAGCUGAGUUGUUACACUUUACUCUUGUGGCAGUGUUUUAGUGCAUCAGAAAGAGCCUCUAAAAUCAUGUCCACAUGGUCCUUGUUGCUGUUACAGCCCAUCAGACCUACACGCAGGACCUGCAAACAAGAUUACCGGUCAGUGACACAUGCAUAAAUCAGACAAGUAAGAAUUACUUUAUAUAAAUGGCAUGAUUUAAAUAAUCAUGCAUACAAGUAACAUAAAUAUGUAACUGGUACAUUACUGAUACAAGUAGUAAAUGAACAAGUAACCCCUACCAUGCCAGCUGAUGGCCCGAGACCUCCAGAGAUUUCUAUGUUGUAAUUCUUCAUAAUAAAGCCUCUGAUCUCGUUCCAGUCAUAACCUGGUGGUGCUACUAUUGUAGUAACAGUGGGCAAUCUCACUUUCUGUUAGAAAAGACAACAAAACUUAAACAUGGAUAAUACUACAAUGCUGAGAUCAACUGGAGCAUGGUUUAAGUAAGGAAUAAAUCAUUUUGGGGCAUGCUGUUAUAGUAAAACAAUCAUUCAGGGGGGAGUGUGACGAGG